rnacentral:rRNA from 1 species
GAUGAACGCUGGCGGCGUGCCUAAUACAUGCAAGUCGAGCGAACGGACGAGAAGCUUGCUUCUCUGAUGUUAGCGGCGGACGGGUGAGUAACACGUGGAUAACCUACCUAUAAGACUGGGAUAACUUCGGGAAACCGGAGCUAAUACCGGAUAAUAUUUUGAACCGCAUGGUUCAAAAGUGAAAGACGGUCUUGCUGUCACUUAUAGAUGGAUCCGCGCUGCAUUAGCUAGUUGGUAAGGUAACGGCUUACCAAGGCAACGAUGCAUAGCCGACCUGAGAGGGUGAUCGGCCACACUGGAACUGAGACGCGGUCCAGACUCCUACGGGAGGCAGCAGUAGGGAAUCUUCCGCAAUGGGCGAAAGCCUGACGGAGCAACGCCGCGUGAGUGAUGAAGGUCUUCGGAUCGUAAAACUCUGUUAUUAGGGAAGAACAUAUGUGUAAGUAACUGUGCACAUCUUGACGGUACCUAAGCAGAAAGCCACGGCUAACUACGU